UUCUUUUUUAAGACAUGUUUACAGAUAAGUUUGCUUAGUUUAUUGGUAAUUAAUUUUAUUGUAUUAUUUUAUAUAAUAAGCAAGGGACAUAAAAUAGGAAUAUGUUUAUUAAUAUAAUGGUUGUGUAUAUACAUUGCUAAAGACUGAGAAUUAUGAUAUGCUAGAGCUUUAACACCCACUCGUCUGCAUAGCAACAGCUUGUUAGCCAGGCUGAUUUGUCAACCAAUCAGGUUAAACCGCACGUUAUGACGUCAAGUUACCUUCAAGGCCGUGAUUAGCUCACCAUCGGUUCAACGGACGUCACUGCAGCCGCUGCACAUUUCUUUUGCCUGGAAACACUGCAAGCUAAUCAGAGAGGGUUAGUAAUCAUGGAUUCAAGUUCCAGUUCCCCACGUCAUAGCCAGAGGAAUCAGAGUAAAAAGACUCCAAGCAGUCCAUCCUCCCAAGGAAAUGAAACACCAACCAAACAGGAUCUUAAAACAGAACACAAGACUGAUUCAAUGGAAGCAGUGCCUGAACUUCCUCAGUGCAAAAUGGGUAGCAAGAAGGUAGAUGACAUGAGAUUCAUGAUCUCGUGUACAAACUGGUAUUAGGGGCCUAUGAGAUAUGUGAUCACUUCUCUAAGUGCCAAAUCAAGGAAAUGGAUGAUAUCUUGAAGCUUAAGUAGCAUUUAUAAACACAUUUCUUGUGCUUUACACUUGCUGUCUCACAUCGUUGUCUAUACACUCAGCUCAAACACAUAAGGCUCCAAAGCUUCGAAUUAAAUGCUAAGUACAGUGUCAACACCAUUGUGAAUCUCAUCUCAAAUAUUGCUGACUGGCUUUUCUGUGUCUCUCCAAGGAUUUCUUGUUUAUAUGACUGUUAUUAAUAUAAAUGUUGAGUUUUUGUUUUUCACUAAAAGUAAAAUGAGUCGUUAUGUUUGAAAUAAUAUUUUACUUAAAUUAACGAUGUGUACUACUGUGCUAUCAGUCUUGUCUUGUGAUGUCAGUAUGGAACACAACCAUAAUAAUGAAAAUGCAUCAUUGAACUGAACAAUUUAAGAAUGGAAGAUCAGAUGUUGCUUUUCCAACCUUUGAGUCAUUUCACUGAACCUCUGCUCAUGGAAGUCUCAGAUUCCUGGCUGAAAGGAGUGUUCUCAGAUGUGGUCAAUAAAAUGAUCACAUGACAAUAAAAGCUUCUUGACUUGA